GAUCAAUAAAUUUAAGUAGAUUUUAUUAUAUUUUAAUAAAAAAAUUUAAUUUAUGAUUAAAUAUUAAUUAAAUAAAUUUAUUAAAAAAAAUUUUUUUUAAAUAAAUAUAAAACUAGGAUUAGAUACCCUAUUAUAUCAAAUUAAAAUAAAAAAUUUAAUUAAUAAAUGAUAAAACAUUAAAUUUAAAAAAUAUGGCAGUAUUUUAUUUUAUUAGAGGAAUUUAUUUUAUAAUAGAUAAUACACUAAAAAAAUUACUUAAUUUUUAUAUUUAUAUACUUCUGUAAAGAUUAAAAUUUAAAUUUUAAAUCUAAGUAAAUUUUUUUUUUAUUAUUUCAAGUCAAAGUAUAAUUUAUAAUUAAAAAUAAAUGAAUUACUUUAAAUUUAAUUAAAUAAUUUUUUAAAUUAAUUUAUAAAAUUAAUAGAAUUUAACUUUAAAUAUAAAAAAUUAUUUAUAUUGAAUUAAAUUUAAAAUAUACACAAAUUGCCCGUCAUUCUUAAAUUUUAAGACAAGUCGUAACAAGGUAAAAAUACUGGAAAGUAUUUUUAG
rnacentral:rRNA from 1 species